rnacentral:rRNA from 1 species
GAAAGCUGGCUCUCGGGUGACGAGCGGCGGACGGGUGAGUAAUGUCUGGGAAACUGCCUGAUGGAGGGGGAUAACUACUGGAAACGGUAGCUAAUACCGCAUAACGUCGCAAGACCAAAGUGGGGGACCUUCGGGCCUCAUGCCAUCAGAUGUGCCCAGAUGGGAUUAGCUGGUAGGUGGGGUAACGGCUCACCUAGGCGACGAUCCCUAGCUGGUCUGAGAGGAUGACCAGCCACACUGGAACUGAGACACGGUCCAGACUCCUACGGGAGGCAGCAGUGGGGAAUAUUGCACAAUGGGCGCAAGCCUGAUGCAGCCAUGCCGCGUGUGUGAAGAAGGCCUUCGGGUUGUAAAGCACUUUCAGCGGGGAGGAAGGCGGUGAGGUUAAUAACCUCAUCGAUUGACGUUACCCGCAGAAGAAGCACCGGCUAACUCCGUGCCAGCAGCCGCGGUAAUACGGAGGGUGCAAGCGUUAAUCGGAAUUACUGGGCGUAAAGCGCACGCAGGCGGUCUGUCAAGUCGGAUGUGAAAUCCCCGGGCUCAACCUGGGAACUGCAUUCGAAACUGGCAGGCUAGAGUCUUGUAGAGGGGGGUAGAAUUCCAGGUGUAGCGGUGAAAUGCGUAGAGAUCUGGAGGAAUACCGGUGGCGAAGGCGGCCCCCUGGACAAAGACUGACGCUCAGGUGCGAAAGCGUGGGGAGCAAACAGGAUUAGAUACCCUGGUAGUCCACGCUGUAAACGAUGUCGAUUUGGAGGUUGUGCCCUUGAGGCGUGGCUUCCGGAGCUAACGCGUUAAAUCGACCGCCUGGGGAGUACGGCCGCAAGGUUAAAACUCAAAUGAAUUGACGGGGGCCCGCACAAGCGGUGGAGCAUGUGGUUUAAUUCGAUGCAACGCGAAGAACCUUACCUGGUCUUGACAUCCACAGAACUUUCCAGAGAUGGAUUGGUGCCUUCGGGAACUGUGAGACAGGUGCUGCAUGGCUGUCGUCAGCUCGUGUUGUGAAAUGUUGGGUUAAGUCCCGCAACGAGCGCAACCCUUAUCCUUUGUUGCCAGCGGUUAGGCCGGGAACUCAAAGGAGACUGCCAGUGAUAAACUGGAGGAAGGUGGGGAUGACGUCAAGUCAUCAUGGCCCUUACGACCAGGGCUACACACGUGCUACAAUGGCAUAUACAAAGAGAAGCGACCUCGCGAGAGCAAGCGGACCUCAUAAAGUAUGUCGUAGUCCGGAUUGGAGUCUGCAACUCGACUCCAUGAAGUCGGAAUCGCUAGUAAUCGUAGAUCAGAAUGCUACGGUGAAUACGUUCCCGGGCCUUGGCACACCGCCCGUCACACCAUGGGAGUGGGUUCAGAAAUAAGUAGGUAGUUGAACC